GCCUCGGUGGUGGAACUGGUAGACGCGCUGGACUCAAAAUCCAGUACCUUUACGGGUGUGGGAGUUCGAUUCUCCCCCGAGGCA
rnacentral:tRNA from 1 species